rnacentral:rRNA from 1 species
UGCGGAGGAGGCAAGCGUUAUCCGGAAUUAUUGGGCGUAAAGCGUCCGCAGGUGGCACCUCAAGUCUGCUGUCAAAGACCGGGGCUUAACCCCAGAAAGGCAGUGGAAACUGAAGUGCUAGAGUGCAGUAGGGGUAGAGGGAAUUCCCGGUGUAGCGGUGAAAUGCGUAGAGAUCGGGAAGAACAUCGGUGGCGAAAGCGCUCUGCUGGACUGCAACUGACACUCAGGGACGAAAGCUAGGGGAGCGAAUGGG